AGGUAUUUAUAGGGAACGGGUGCUACUAAUGAAGGGUCAGAAUCUCCCCUUGGAGAGAUGGAAGGUUUGGAUUUAAAAUGACAUAAUCCGACAUCUGAAAAUUAAAGGGAAUCAAAAUGGACGGUUGGGAUUCUAUUCAGAAUAUCUGUCAUUUCUCUUCUUAAUUCAACGGCUCAGGAUCUUGCCUGUCAGGACAGAUCCAAAGGCUGGGAAUAAAAGGCGCCGGACCUGUCGUCUGCCUUUUGAUCCAAGGGCUCCGGGU
rnacentral:misc_RNA from 1 species